rnacentral:rRNA from 1 species
UAGGGAAUAUUGCAAAAUGGGCGAAAGCCCGAUGCAGCAACGCCGCGUGGGCGAUGAAGGCCUUCGGGUCGUAAAGCCCUUUUUGAGGGGAUGAGGAAGGACAGUACCCUCAGAAUAAGCCUCGGCUAACUACGUGCCAGCAGCCGCGGUAAAACGUAGGAGGCGAGCGUUAUCCGGAUUUACUGGGCGUAAAGCGCGUGCAGGCGGAUUGGAGAGUUGGAUGUGAAAGCUCCCGGCUUAACUGGGAGAGGUCGUUCAAUACUUCCAGUCUUGAGUGCAGUAGAGGGAAGUGGAAUUCCGGGGGUAGUGGUGAAAUGCGUAGAUAUCCGGAGGAACACCAGUGGCGAAAGCGGCUUCCUGGACUGUAACUGACGCUCAGACGCGAAAGCUAGGGUAGCAAACG